GACGAACGCUGGCGGCGUGCCUAAUACAUGCAAGUCGAGCGAACCUUUGGGAGCUUGCUCCCAGAGAUUAGCGGCGGACGGGUGAGUAACACGUGGGCAACCUGCCCUGUAGACUGGGAUAACACCGAGAAAUCGGUGCUAAUACCGGAUAACACCUUUCGUCUCAUGGAGGAAGGUUAAAAGUUGGGAUUACUAACACUACAGGAUGGGCCCGCGGCGCAUUAGCUAGGUGGUAAGGUAAUGGCUUACCAAGGCGACGAUGCGUAGCCGACCUGAGAGGGUGAUCGGCCACACUGGGACUGAGACGCGGCCCAGACUCCUACGGGAGGCAGCAGUAGGGAAUCUUCCGCAAUGGACGAAAGUCUGACGGAGCAACGCCGCGUGAGUGAUGAAGGUUUUCGGAUCGUAAAGCUCUGUUGUUAGGGAAGAACAAGUGCCGAACGAAUAGGUCGGCACCUUGACGGUACCUAACCAGAAAGCCACGGCUAACUACGUGCCAGCAGCCGCAGUAAAAC
rnacentral:rRNA from 1 species